CUUUUUCCUGAUGACUUUCUUUAACUGCCUUUUCACACAAGCAUUACUAUCAUGAUAAAAACAAAUUUUAAGGAAGAAAAUCUUUCUCCACAAACAGUAGUAUGUUUGAAGCAUCUGAAAAAUCAUUUAUUCACAGCUCACUAUAACAGAGCUCUAUGACUGAGAGUCUGUUAUCUUUAAAAUAGUCUCUGAAUUUCUUUCUUCCUUUGAUGGAUAAGAGGUGAAGGAUUGGAAACUAGGCGGUGUUCCAUCUCACUGCUCACCCCCCUCCACUUUUCACCAGUGUUUAAACUAUUCAAGCAAACUUUCUGCAGCAAACAGAAGAUAAGUCUGAAACAGCUGAUGUAAUGUGACCAAGUUUUUCCUUAUGGCAAAUUGAAACAAAAGGUUUUGCUGUCAAGACUUUACCACUGAAGUCACUUGGCAAUCCAGAACUUUUCCGUCAGAGAAAUUGCAAAAUUGGAUCCACUUGGAGUGACACAAGAGAACAGAAUAUUUGACCAAAAAGAUAAGAUAGAAGGGAGCAGAUGAAUACAGUAUUGGAUCCACUGGGAUGAACCUGGCCUCUCUUUAGGAAAAUGCUCCUGGAUGGAAAUAAUAGUGAAAAUAUAGUUGAAAAUAGUUGAAAACUUGAGUUGCAGAUUUGCCAAAACGCCAGCACUCUUGCUGUACAUCUGACACUUUGUAUUUGGAAAAUGGUCUGUAACUAUGCUUCAAAAUAUCUCUCAGAGGGACACUGCAAAAUUUCCCUUAGUUUCCAAUGAGGAAACAGGCUCCGGAAAGAUAAGUCAUCUCCCCCAAGGUCACAGAAAGGGCACGAACUCGGAGAUCACGGACCCCGCCUUCUCACCCAAUCUCCCAGUCGGGUCAAUCUCACCAUCUUGAGACCACUCUUCCUACCAGAUGGCCCACAGGAGUGAAGAGUGGGCUCACAUAGACCAAGAGAGUGGCUCUGAGACCUACCUAUUAGAACAACUGUAGAAAUUUCCACUUAAACUUAGCAUCUUCAUCCGUGUUUAUCGUCAGUGUCUACGAGCUAUUGCAUAAAGCCUCCACGAGGCUACAUUUUUCCUUCACUUGCAACCCUUCUUUACCCACCAGCCUCGCUCCACCUGCCUCCCUGUCCUCUGGCCCCACUGUCCCUCCACGAUGGCCCUCCCUCCACCUUCCUCUGUUCUGGCCCUCCAGCAUCCUUGGCUGUCCUCCUGCUGCCUCUUUCCCUCUGCACAAACACAGCCAGUCCGAGUGGAUGGGCUCAGGCAAAGAGUGGCCUUGGGGCUCCAACUCUUGUGUGGGCCAGUGUCUGGGUAUAGGCUGUGCUGGGCCAGAAGGAGCCCAGCUGCUCCAGCAGGGCAGGAGGUCAUGGCCUCGGACCCGGGAGCAGAUAGGACUCUGAACCACAGUUGGUGUCAGUCAGCCGUAGAGCAGAUGUGGCUAUGUGUCAUGGAAAAGGGCACUCUGGACAUACAGUCAGGAAGCCUGCCUCCAAAUCCUGCCCCCUGACAAUUUUCGUCUGUGUAACUCUGGGACAAAAGUCUCUGAACCUUGACUUCCUCAACUGUAAAAUGGAAGCUACCACCACAUUAGCAAAUACUUAUGGAGCUCCUCAGGUGCCCCUGAUGUCACCCUGAGCACUUUACACAUAUGAAUAUACUUAUUCCUGACACUGACACUCUGGGGUGUGUACUGUCAUGAGGCUUACUGUGUAGUCAUGGCAAUGGAGCCACACGGAGGCUGAGCUGGGAUUUGAACCCUUGCAGAUGCCACUAUCUCAUAGAGUGACUAUGAGGCAACCUUCAUAAGGUUCCUAGCCCAGUGCCUGGCACAGAGAGUAAACACCAACAAAGAUUUAGAGAGAAAAGAGGCUUGAUGUGGGGGGGGGGGGGAGGCAGGAAUCUGAGGUUCAGGAUAAGACCAGCAAAGGGAGGAAGCUGAGUGGUAUAUGUGGAAAGACAAGCUGGACUGAAAAACUAGAGAUAAGCAUCCCAGACAGACCAAGGGGAGGGGGCGUGGGGGCUGGGUUUGAACUAGGCCUAAGGUCUCAGCUUAGCUGCCACCUCUUCGGGGAGGUCUUCCCUGAUCUCACAUGAUUGAGUCGAGUGUCCUUCCUCUCCGGCAUAUCCUUCAGCACGGCGACCAGGCUCCAGGGGUGCUGCACUGUACUGCACUGUAAUCGCUCAAGCCUGCUUCUUCUCCACACUGGGGGCUCAGCAGCGACUUUGGCCUGCUCAGCUCUGCACCCCAAGGGCCUGGUAUCUAGCCUGACACAGAGCCAGUCUUGAGAGCUCUACUUAGAUAAAUGAAGGAAGGGACAGGUAGGCACAAAGGGUAUCUGGGCAAGCAGACCGACAAUAUUCUGGUCUCUUGUCCAAGCAUUCCGAUUCGCACAACAGUGAGUCUCACUGAGGACCCCCUCAGCCUUCGUUCCCACUCCAGGCCUGGAGAGGGCAGGGGACACGUCUGUGGGGUCUGUGGGAUCUGUGAGUCUGUGGCUGGACCUUGCUGGGAGGCAGCAGGGAGCUGUUAACAGCUAGGCUGCCUCGGGGCCUGAGGGAGGACCUAUGAGCAGACCUACCGUCGUCUUCUCCGCCACCUCUGGCUCAGACAACGGUGUCUUGGGAGAGUGACCAGAGCACCUGGGAUGGUACUGGGAAGUCACCCUUCUGAGUCCUUUACCCUCUUAGGAUCCCCAAUCUGAAAUGUUCAUCUCAGCAGACUUUUUAAGGAGCUGCUUUUCUUACCAAAACCCAUCCUCAACCAGGCACCCACCCACUUCCAACCCAGACACUCUGGACCCUCCUUCCUCACUAACACAGGCGCCUCCUGCCCCUUUCAAGCCCAGGGCUUGUGGGAGCAGCUCUCGCAGGGGAGUCUCCAUGGGAACCUCUAGGGGAAUUCCAGGCCCACGGAUCGCCUGUCAUCUGAACUUGGCCUCUCUCACAGUUGCUCAAGCACGCUGGCACACUGAUUGGGAGGCAGCACGAAACCCUUGGUUUUCUUUCCUGGCAGUGUUGCCUGGGCCAAACCCCCGUACUCAGAACGCCUUUUUGUAUAAGCAGCAGGCAGGCAGGCCAAGAUGUAGCAGGUUUGGGUGCAGAGUGUAAACUCAGUGUAUAAUCACCUAACAGGCCCGAGUUCAAUUUGUGCAGUUUGACUUUGCAGCUUCCACCAAGACAUGCUAUUUCUACAGAGCAAGGCAGGCAAAACUGGAGUUGCUAGAGCACAGAGUUGCUAGGGCACAGCUUCUGGACUUUGACCUUUCCCAGCUGGGAAAAAUCUGGACUUGGGACUUCUAUCUCCAACUUAUACUCUUGUACCUCAUUCUCUGGAUGCACCAUGUAACAGGAAACACAGGUCAAAAAGUCAUUGUGAUCCAUUGGGCUCCAUCUCUGGAUCUCUCUUGUUGACAGAGAUAAAGGGCUUCCUGAUCAUGUAUUCUCUGGAAAACACAGUGCAGGGAACAUUCCAGGCAGCCCUCCCGAUAGCCCACAACAAUGAAAGUUCUCAGUAAAUGAAAUUGUUGUGAGAUACAAGAAACAAUGUGGUCAGGGACUGACUGAAGCUGACGCUGCAGGCCUGGUGGGUGAAAGUGUGACACGUCUCCAGAGCACCCUUGAUCAAGCGGGGAUCAGGCCAGGCUUGGAUCCAGCCAGGCAGGGCUGCCGGGCUCCCAGGCAAGACCCAAGGGCAGAUAGAGCAUCACCACACCACUCAGACUCAGAGCUCCAGCCGGGUUCUACUCCCAACACCUCAACAGGUCACUGACUUGAGGAAGCAGAGAUGACCGUACCUGCUCUGCCUCUCAGGGUGGUCACAAGGUUUAAGCCGAGUGACUGUGAUGUCUCCUCAGCUGUUGUCUCUUCGCUCCAAAUGCCCAUCUGCUUUGUGAUGCUGGGGACUCUGUAAACCACGACUCUCCUUUGCCAGCUGCUCCUGGCUAGAUGCUCCCAGGAGUAGCAGCAACAGGCCCAGGGGGGAAAAGUCAGGCCCCGAGUGUAAGCAGGAGUGUAAGCAGGCACUUACUCUGCUGUGGACUCCGCACUUGCCCUACCCUCCGCAAAGGCCUGCCGAGACCCAGACCAGAGGCUCUCCCCACCACCUGCAAUUUACAAACACACACUCGGUCUCACUUACGGAGAGCCAACCUCCUGGACUCCCCUAGCAUUCGUGUUAAUGACUUAGGUUUUAUUCCCCAUCUCCGACGGCAAAACACAAGUUGCUUUCAGUCACCGAGGGAGCAUUCAGGGGUACGGUGUGGCCACAGAAAUUCCUGAGGGUAGUGGCGAGGGGCAAGUCGUUGCUUCCUGUCCCCAGAAGAGUUGAGCCUUGGCUUCAUCAAAAGAGGGCAAGACAAUUCAAGUAACCUGGAUUCUCUUGCUGUCAGUUCCACCCAGUUGCCCGCAUCUGGCCUACACUGGUAUGCCAGAGGGAAAAAGUAGAGUGACAAGCCGUCAGCAAGGAUGGGCUUGGAAGAAGGAAUGGAAAGGAAGUCCAAAUUGCUAUAAACAAAAAAAGAGUCACCUGGAGUUCAGAGGAGUCGUCUGCCAAGAGCAAUCAGCCGUCCAUGUGGGCAUUAUUAUUCCCGGUUCCAAUGAAACCAUGCUUCCAUCUGGUUUAAGGAAAACAAAAUCUAUAAUGUUUCAUGAUUUUGCUCCCAUAAUAACACUAAAUGAGCAAACAUCUUUAGCUCUGCCUGUAGAAAAAUACAAGCCAUUCUCAUGGAGUGAUGUUUAACUAUGAAACUCACUCUGAUUCACCUCUGCCUCCCUUACCCCAGACCUAUUGCUCUAACCAGUAUUGACUUAGCAAAUGCCAAAUCAUUAAGCUGUUGAUAUUAUGCCCUGGGGCAUCUGGGUUACAACAGCCACAUGAUCUUCAUGUUUGUCUUCAUCAGAGGCCUAAGCACACCGGCUAGCCAAACCCCACAGCCAGCAACAUAGGGGGCCAGAGAGUAGAACACGCAGUGGAUGAUUUUCCAUGCAAGAAAAUGAUAGAAACAGACCGAACAUAGUAGCUUUCAGAAAGUUUCCUUGCCUUACACUUGUUAUUGAGGAAUGUGCUCUUUUUGGCAGUAUUAGUUCACUAGGGCAGCUGUAGCAGGUACCACAGGUGAGGUGAUUUAAACAACAGAAGUUAAAUGUUCACAGUCCUGGAGGCUAAUAGUCCAAGAUCAAGGUGUUAGCGGGGUUGAUUUCUACUGCGGUUUCUCUGUCUCGCAAACGGCCACCUCCUCCCUAUGUCUUCAUGUGACGUUUCCUCUGUGUGUUUAGAAGCUAAUCAGUCUCCUCUUCUUGUAAAGAUUCCAGUCAUGUUGGACUAGGGCCCACCCACAUGGCCUCCUUUUAUUUUCGUUACCUCUUUGAAGACCCUAUCUAAAAGUAUGCUCACAUUCUCAGAUGCGGGGGGCUAGGAUGUCAACCUAUGAAUCCGGUGGUGGGCAGACACAAUUCAGCCCAUGACAAAUACUUGAAACGAUAAUUGCGGUUAUAGCUAACAUUUUCUGUAGUGUUUGGAACUAUACUAACCACUCAACUUGAAUCUAAUCCUUAAAAAAACAGUUUUAUGUA